rnacentral:rRNA from 2 species
AGUCGAGCGAACUGAUUAGAAGCUUGCUUCUAUGACGUUAGCGGCGGACGGGUGAGUAACACGUGGGCAACCUGCCUGUAAGACUGGGAUAACUUCGGGAAACCGAAGCUAAUACCGGAUAGGAUCUUCUCCUUCAUGGGAGAUGAUUGAAAGAUGGUUUCGGCUAUCACUUACAGAUGGGCCCGCGGUGCAUUAGCUAGUUGGUGAGGUAACGGCUCACCAAGGCAACGAUGCAUAGCCGACCUGAGAGGGUGAUCGGCCACACUGGGACUGAGACACGGCCCAGACUCCUACGGGAGGCAGCAGUAGGGAAUCUUCCGCAAUGGACGAAAGUCUGACGGAGCAACGCCGCGUGAGUGAUGAAGGCUUUCGGGUCGUAAAACUCUGUUGUUAGGGAAGAACAAGUACCAGAGUAACUGCUGGUACCUUGACGGUACCUAACCAGAAAGCCACGGCUAACUACGUGCCAGCAGCCGCGGUAAUACGUAGGUGGCAAGCGUUAUCCGGAAUUAUUGGGCGUAAAGCGCGCGCAGGCGGUUUCUUAAGUCUGAUGUGAAAGCCCACGGCUCAACCGUGGAGGGUCAUUGGAAACUGGGGAACUUGAGUGCAGAAGAGAAAAGCGGAAUUCCACGUGUAGCGGUGAAAUGCGUAGAGAUGUGGAGGAACACCAGUGGCGAAGGCGGCUUUUUGGUCUGUAA